UUUUUAUGAGAGUUUGAUCCUGGCUCAGGACGAACGCUGGCGGCGUGCCUAAUACAUGCAAGUCGAACGCUUCUUUUUCCACCGGAGCUUGCUCCACCGGAAAAAGAGGAGUGGCGAACGGGUGAGUA
rnacentral:rRNA from 1 species